UACGGGGGGGGCAAGCGUUGUUCGGAAUUACUGGGCGUAAAGCGUGCGCAGGCGGUUUUGUAAGUUUGUCGUGAAAUCCCCGGGCUCAACCUGGGAAUGGCGAUGAAGACUGCAAGGCUAGAAUCUGGCAGAGGGGGGUAGAAUUCCACGUGUAGCAGUGAAAUGCGUAGAGAUGUGGAGGAACACCGAUGGCGAAGGCAGCCCCCUGGGUCAAGAUUGACGCUCAUGCACGAAAGCGUGGGGAGCAAACAGG
rnacentral:rRNA from 1 species